GACGAACGCUGGCGGCGUGCCUAAUACAUGCAAGUAGAACGCUGAAGGAGGAGCUUGCUUCUCUGGAUGAGUUGCGAACGGGUGAGUAACGCGUAGGUAACCUGCCUGGUAGCGGGGGAUAACUAUUGGAAACGAUAGCUAAUACCGCAUAAGAGUAGAUGUUGCAUGACAUUUGCUUAAAAGGUGCAAUUGCAUCACUACCAGAUGGACCUGCGUUGUAUUAGCUAGGUGGUGGGGUAACGGCUUACCAAGGCGACGAUACAUAGCCGACCUGAGAGGGGGAUCGGCCACACCGGGACUGAGACACGGCCCAGACUCCUACGGGAGGCAGCAGUAGGGAAUCUUCGGCAAUGGACGGAAGUCUGACCGAGCAACGCCGCGUGAGUGAAGAAGGUUUUCGGAUCGUAAAGCUCUGUUGUAAGAGAAGAACGAGUGUGAGAGUGGAAAGUUCACACUGUGACGGUAUCUUACCAGAAAGGGACGGCUAACUACGUG
rnacentral:rRNA from 1 species